AGAGUUUGAUCAUGGCUCAGAGUGAACGCUGGCGGUAGGCCUAACACAUGCAAGUCGAACGGCAGCACAGAGGAGCUUGCUCCUUGGGUGGCGAGUGGCGGACGGGUGAGGAAUACAUCGGAAUCUACCCUGUCGUGGGGGAUAACGUAGGGAAACUUACGCUAAUACCGCAUACGACCUUCGGGUGAAAGUAGGGGAUCGCAAGACCUUACGCGAUUGGAUGAGCCGAUGUCGGAUUAGCUUGUUGGCGGGGUAAAAGCCCACCAAGGCGACGAUCCGUAGCUGGUCUGAGAGGAUGAUCAGCCACACUGGAACUGAGACACGGUCCAGACUCCUACGGGAGGCAGCAGUGGGGAAUAUUGGACAAUGGGCGCAAGCCUGAUCCAGCCAUACCGCGUGGGUGAAGAAGGCCUUCGGGUUGUAAAGCCCUUUUGUUGGGAAAGAAAUCCUGUCGGUUAAUACCCGGUAGGGAUGACGGUACCCAAAGAAUAAGCACCGGCUAACUUCGUGCCAGCAGCCGCGGUAAUUC
rnacentral:rRNA from 1 species